rnacentral:lncRNA from 1 species
CGUGCCUCCAAUUACAGCCUGCCGCGUGUCCCAUCUGCUCCCGUUGAUCACAAUCCUCUUCCUCCUCGGUUUCCCAACUACCCUCCACCGCCCAGUGGCCCGCCAUCAGCUCCCGUCGAUGCCUUUCCGGUGAACGACGCUCCAUCAGCUCCCGUUGAUGCCUUUCCGGCGAACGAGUACAAGCCGCAAGACCCACCUGUGAGCUCGAGAUUCUCCAGUUAUGGAGUGCCAAGUGGCCCAUCGGCGCCGGUGGAUUACUCUCCUUACGAUCACAGGCAGUU